GACGAACGCUGGCGGCGUGCUUAACACAUGCAAGUCGAGCGAUGAAGUUCCUUCGGGAAUGGAUUAGCGGCGGACGGGUGAGUAACACGUGGGUAACCUGCCUCAUAGAGGGGAAUAGCCUUUCGAAAGGAAGAUUAAUACCGCAUAAGAUUGUAGCUUCGCAUGAAGCAGCAAUUAAAGGAGUAAUCCGCUAUGAGAUGGACCCGCGUCGCAUUAGCUAGUUGGUGAGGUAACGGCUCACCAAGGCGACGAUGCGUAGCCGACCUGAGAGGGUGAUCGGCCACAUUGGGACUGAGACACGGCCCAGACUCCUACGGGAGGCAGCAGUGGGGAAUAUUGCACAAUGGGGGAAACCCUGAUGCAGCAACGCCGCGUGAGUGAUGGCGGUCUUCGGAUUGUAAAACUCUGUCUUCAGGGACGAUAAUGACGGUACCUGAGGAGGAAGCCACGGCUAACUACGUGCCAGCCGCCGCAGUAAUAC
rnacentral:rRNA from 1 species